AUGCCCGCCGACAAGCGCCCGCUCCCGCCGCCCGCCUCUGGCGACGACGGCUCCCACGGGCACGCCGCGGCCCGCCACGCCGCCGCCAGCCGCGGCCGGGGCGGGGCCUCGCAUGGGCCGUCGGAAGGCGGGCCCGCCGCGCGUCAGGCGAGGGCGCCGCCGGGGGAGCCGCACUACGGCGAUCCCGACGCGGAGGGCGGGCGCGGCGGAGGGUACGGGAGCGGCGACGAUAGCGACUCGUCUCUCAGCGCCGACGACGAUGACGACGGCGACGCCGAGUUUGUGCUCGUGAAAUUAGCAGAAAUCCGAAAAGAAGUCCAGUGCCCAAUCUGUUUAGGCAUUAUCCGGAAGACAAGAACGGUUAUGGAAUGUUUGCACCGAUUCUGCAGGGAUUGCAUUGAUAAAUCUAUGAGGCUAGGAAAUAAUGAGUGUCCAGCAUGCCGUACUCAUUGUGCAAGUCGACGUUCUUUGAGGGAUGAUCCUAAUUAUGAUGCACUUAUUGCAACCUUGUAUCCAGAUAUUGAUAAGUAUGAGGAAGAGGAACUUGCUUUCGGUGAAGAGGAGAGGACUCGGAAUAAGAAGAUUCAAGCAACCAUCGAGGAGAUGAUUCGAAAGCAGUCGGAGGCCCUCGGUAAGAAGCGUCCUACGGCAAAAGCUACUGCCAGUGCUUUUGCAAGGAAGUACAGGAGAAAUGUGCGUACCCGUGGGAGAGGUAGAACGGUUGCUCGUGAUAUUGCCCCUACUGGCUCUGAUGAUGAGGAUAGAGAAGAAGAAAAUGCUAAUGUUGAGAGCAAAGAGUCGCCUUCUCCUGAUAACCAGUCUCCAGAUUUAAGGCAGAGAAGAGGUAGAAAAAGGCCUGCACCAACACCUUCUCCUGCUAGAACCAUUGCCAGUAGUGACCACGGAUCUGAGGAGAAUGACGAAGUAGUAUCUCUAAAAGAAGGUUUCACCACCUCUCCAUUGCGGGGUGAGAUGCUCGCAUGGGGAAAAAAUGGCACAAGAAGCCAAACUCGGUACAACAAUGCUGGUGGAACAAACGGCAGGCUGGGGAAGGGUGGGCGUUUCGCGAAGUUGGUGGACCACCUCCGUGCAACUGAUGAAAACAAGGAGUUCAACUUGUAUCUUGUUCUUCUUCCUCUUGAUGGACAAACAACGCCUAACUUGGAAAAGCCCUAUCUAAGUUGUCGACCAAGGGUGUCCAUUCGACAUCUUCUACAGUUCAUUGCUCUUCAGUUGUCUCGGCAAGUUGAAGAACUUGAGAUGUAUAUAAGGGUGGACCUCCACAAUAGAAGUGUUGCAGUGAAGGACUCUGGUUCUGCUGAGACAAAACUGUCUCUCUUUGAUGGCUUGGAAAGAUUGAGGGAAGACAAGCUUCUGUUGGACCUUCACCCUUCAUUUGCCUCUGGUAAUGGUGAUCUGGAAUUGAUAUAUGCUCUGAAACGCCAAGGCUAG
rnacentral:rRNA from 1 species